CCAUUGGUGGUUUAGUGGUAGAAUUCUCAUUUUCCAUCUGAGAGACCCCGGUUCAAUUCCCAGCCAAUGUA
rfam:Loxodonta africana unplaced genomic scaffold scaffold_23, whole genome shotgun sequence.